GAGUAUCAUGCCCUUACGGGUAGAUCUCCACCCUUGAAUAACAUACCUUUGUUGCUUUGGCAGGACGCACUCGUGCCAGGGGCUUCGGCUCUUGAGUGCCUGCCAGAGGACCACAACUCUUGUUUUUAGUGAUGUCUGAGUCUGAUAUAAAUAUCUAAAACUUUCAACAACGGAUCUCUUGGUUCU
rnacentral:misc_RNA from 1 species